UUCUACAACUCUGUUAAUUAUAUACUGUUCUGUAUGUUUUAAUUAUUUUCCCAAAUUACCAGAAGAAACACCUUUCUGUGAUGGUUUUAGCUACCUGCAAAUCAAAGAUGAGAAUGGAGGCACAGUUCUAAAAUGGAAAAUAGAAUUCUCUUCUUUAUGACUAUAGAGCUCACUCUUUUGUCUUUUCUUUGGAAGUUAGUCAAGGAGAUUUAGCAAGGGGGAAUUAAGAUGAAUAACUAAUCACAUGAGCCAGGCCACCCCAGGAACCUAAACUCUUGAGACCACUCUGAGCAUCACAAGCAGUGCACAUGCUAACUGCCAGCUAUCCUUAUUACUUCCCUGCAAACUGGGUUCUCCAUGGACUCCUGACUUAGUAAGCCAACUGGAACUGUCCCUGCAAGGCCUGCAGGGCACUGGCUUACAAAUCCAGCCAGGAAGAGCAAGCUCCAGGAAAAACAUCAUGAUGUAAGAGGCAAUUUUGCAACUGGGAUUCGAUCCAGCUUCCAGGAUGAACAAUAUCUUCAUAAACAAGCUCCACCAUCUGAUGCAUUAAAAACCUUGCUCUCAAGACGAAUAUCAGAUUCUCCAACUGCCCAACUUCUAGAGUCUAGAAAAAUGUAAACGUAUUGAAGAUCACAAGAAUAUUUUGCUCAUGUGUGCUACAUAGGCAAGAGAUGGAUCCGGGUUAACUGAGCAACUCCACCAAAUAACUAGAAAUCAAAGGAAUGUAAGAGGUUUGGGUCAGGGAUUUUUUUUCUAACUUUUCUGUAUGUGUCAGCAUAUGGGUGGAACAGUCACGCUUCAAGCCCAGAUUUCCAUCCAAAAGGGGAGGGAGAGUUGGGUUCACUGGAGAAGGCAUAUAGAUAACCUUUCAUAUGCAAUCUGUAAGUAAACUCUGGGAUAGAUUCUGGAUUUCUCAUCACCCCUGAUGUCUUUUCAUCUUUUACUCCCCUUCAAAAAAAAAAAUCUGAAAAAAGAAACAGUUCAACUGCAGAACUAAUGCAAACUAAAUUAAAACAAUAAAUCAAAUACAAAAACCACAA